rnacentral:rRNA from 1 species
UACGUAGGGGGCAAGCGUUGUCCGGAAUCAUUGGGCGUAAAGAGCUCGUAGGCGGUCCGUCGCGUCGAAUGUGAAAACCCGGGGCUCAACCCCGGGCCUGCAUUCGAUACGGGCGGACUAGAGUUCGGUAGGGGAGACUGGAAUUCCUGGUGUAGCGGUGAAAUGCGCAGAUAUCAGGAGGAACACCGGUGGCGAAGGCGGGUCUCUGGGCCGAUACUGACGCUGAGGCACGAAAGCGUGGGGAGCAAACAGG